CCGCCUGUACCCGCUUCGCGUCAUUUGGGGGCGUUUCCCUUUUUUUUUCCUCGCGAUGCAGCCUCCCCGCCCGUAGCGCCGCCUCCCCCGCCAUCGCGCCGCCCCCGCGGCACCACGCGACGCCGCCUCUCCAGUCGGAUCUCAGUGCUGCUGGGUUGGUGGCGCACACGCCCGGCAGGGAGGCGGCCGGAGGGAGGAGUUCGACCAGCGGCCAGACUUCCGGCGGGGGACUGCUCCGGGCGGCCAAUCGACCGGUGGAGAUCCCGGUCCGGCUUGGUGAUGCGCGGCGGAGGUGGAGGAGGCGGUUGUGGGGAAGCCUGUAGGGGGCGAAGGAGAAGGAAAGGGAAGGAGCGCUGGGACAUCGUGCUCCUCCUCCGCCUGCGGCCUCCUGCAUGGGCGGCGGCGGCAGACGAGCAGCUAGCGGCGGCGCGUGCAAGGCUACUCGCGGAUCGAUCUGAUGGAUCAUCAGGCCGGGAUGGGUUCCUACAAGCCCGUAAGUCCCUCACCCCCAAAUCCAAAUCAAACCCUAGCGUGGGACGGUGGGGUGCGGCCUGCAGCAUGCCACGGCGGUCGGCGGCGCGGCGGCGUAUGGCGCAGGGCCGCGAUGCACGGAGGAGGCAUGCAGCGCGGGGCGGAGCUGUGCGACGCUGGACGGCGACCUCCAACACGAGUCGACGGCGUGCGUGGUGGGCCGCAGGGCACCCCGUCGGCCAGGCCGCAGCACCCUACCACCCCUCCAGGCCCGACAAGCCCCUUGUGGUGACGCAGAAGGAGAUCAUUACCCACAAGGAGGGGUGCAGCUAAACGCGUACAUGUUGCACAACCUGAGCUUGGGUUCAGUGACUUUUUUUAAUGAUGCUUACUGGAGAGACAACAUCGUGGACGACAACACAUGCUCGCUGAUGCUUGGUAAGGCAGGGUAGGGAACACAUAGCCCAGGGUGAUCGAAACAUCAGCUCGGUUCUUUAUGAGUUGGAAGAUCAACAGACUUCAAGAGAGAAAUGAUCUCCCGGAGCCACUGAUCGGGAAGCUCUGGACAUUGGGUGAUUUUGAGGGCAACCCUGUACUACAGUUGCAUGUAAGUGUGCCACCCGGACCUUAGUGGGGAUGACCCUGAUGUGACCAACUUCCGGAUGUCAUCAACUAGGUUUAUUUGGUAAGAGCCACCAGUCAAGUCUUUACAUUUAUGCAUGCUGCCUGCAAGAUGUUUUCUUUUUGCUCUGAAAUUUGUCAUUGCACUAAGCUAACAUGUCGUGUCCAAGCCCAAGCCUCCCUCCCUGUGCAAAAUUGAGGUAGACAAGGGAUGAAAGGUACUAGAUUAAUUGGAAAUCAAACAAGGACAUGUCUUUGCGAUUUCAAGUCCAUGUUUCCGCGAAGUCAAUUUCCCAGAGUGUGAGAGACAAAUUGUGUUUCAUUAAUUUUUGUUUACAAUUGUGACAUUGCUGAUGGUGAGGAGUCAACUGCAAGUUUUAUGAUUUUUGUUUUGUGUGCGUCUGAUAAUGUUGAUUCGAUUGUGUGGAACUAACCCUUGCCGGCUUGCUGCAGUGUUGCCCACGUGCUGGACGUCAUCAUUGAUUCUUCUAAUUUAGACAACACGUUAGCAUCUGGCAUGCACCACAACUGUUUGGUCAGUGCUUGGGAGGAAGAGGUCGGCAAGGGUGGAGCCAAUGGCAAGGGUGGAUAUCAGGCAAGCGAUGUACCGGUUGAUCUGCUUCUAUCAGGUUGUGCCCUUGCCACUCCUAAAGGCUCUACUGUUUACAGGAUCCACUGCUUUCUCACUUGAUCAGAACACAUGGCUGAGUUUGGGUCAAGCACUAGAUCAUUUGGUCCAGUUUUGGUUUUCUAUUACAGAUGUCAGAGUUGGCAUAUGUACAGACCCUAUUUUGCGUGAUGGCAUCAAAUAUACGGUUGUCACUCGAGCUGAAGAGAUAAAGAAGGUCCAUGAAGUACCAUGUUUGGGUGCUAAUGGCUAUAAAUCAGCAUUGAAAUAUGUGUACGAGUACAUAAGAUGUGAGAAUCUUCAAGAAAUUAAAACUGAAGAAACUUUUUAUGAGAACCUAGAUUAGAUUAGAUUUAGAAUGGCGUUGAUUGUUACAUUUUUAAUAAAAAUGAUAAUUUAGUUGUUUUAGCGGAAUUUAAUUGUUUUAGUAGACUUUGCUUAUAUCA